GUUACCUGCAUCAUUCCCCCACACCCCCGGAACAGGUAACACACCCGAAGGGGGUAAUUUCAUGAAGGCACAGCUCCCCUUGAUCCCCUUGAUCCCCUUGAUCCUCCUCUUGAUCCCCUUGGUCAAGCCCCCAGGAGGCCAGAGGGCACAGGUCUGUGCAGUGAUGGAGAGGAUUUGGAGGGACACACGGAAGAUACCUGGCUGCUCAGGCACCUCAAAAUCUGGGACUCCGAUGCCCCCACUUUAUCUCAGGUUUGUGACCAAGAAUGAUAGUUCUGAUCACGGCUGAAGGUAAGUGUGUGAAGGGGAGGACCCGACACAGAAGCCCAUAAGCAAGCUCUAUAGCCACACAGGGUCCCGGCUCUGAGUCUCGCGGAGGACACAGGUGAGCAGACAGGCAGUGGCAAAGUCACCUUGGCAGCGACAUCCCUGGGGGAGCACACACAAGGGCAGUGCUCGCAGCCUUGGGGCAUCCGGGAGUGCUUCCUGGAAGAAGGGAUCCCAACCUGGGAUGGGAAGGAAGAGAGGAGCGAGUCCUGUGAAGAGGACAGAAGAGCAGGGUCUAUGGCCCGCGGGGGGGACACUGUGGCUGUGGAAAGAGAGGGACAGGGGGCUGGAAAGGUGGGCUGGGCCAGGUCACGCAGAGCCUCGGAGGCUGAGGAACUCCGCCUGAGCAAGAGGGAAGCGUGGAAGGCGUGUCCGCAGGCCCCACAUGGAAGUACUCAGACCCACGAAGCAUUUACUGAGCACCUGCUGGGCACAGGUUGCUAUCGGCACUCUACAGAACGCAGGAAGAGUCCAAGAGAUGAGGACUCCCUGGGAGGGUCUAAUCACUCACUGAGGCAGGAAACAGUCUCCCCACAUAGCGCAGAGACGCUCAUCACUGCCUGCACUUCCAGUGGCUGCAGACUGCUGCUCUGAGGCUCCGAGCACAGCAGCGCAGUUCGCAGUUUGGGGGAGAGGAGCUCUAACAGGCUGAACUGGUCAGACGGGGGUAACACACGUGGCCCAACUAGAAGGGAGAGGAUGACUCACCACUCGAAUGGUUGUUAGCUGGCAGGAAACACCAUGGGAGAGAAGCUUGUCGGCCAGUAUCUUCGAGGAAGAAACUCCCCUCAUUUUAUAAUGUGGAAACUGAGACCCAGAUGGAAAGCGUCCUGCCCAAAUAUGGACUGGGAUUAUUGGUUUCCUGGUCCCUAGAACACUUCUUUUUCCAGUAACAACCAUAAUAAUAACAAAAGCCGCCAACAUUUUACUAAGUACUUCAUAUGUGUCAAGCUCUGUGCCAAGCAUCACAUCUAUUCCAUUGCAUUACGUUAUAUUACAUUAUAUUAUAAUUGUGAUACAUAUAAUUAUAUAUUAAAACUGUGUGAUCUUGUACAAGUCCCGUAAAUUAUGAGUCUUGGGUGGUGGUUGUUUUUUUUUUUUUUUUAAUCUGUGAAUAGGAGAAACCAGUUAUCGGAGCUGUUAAAUGUUAUACAGAGUUCAUAAAGUAACAUCAAUAAAGUGGAGCGUCUAAAUCAAUAUAAAGGAGGCCUUCCUCCUCCUUGGCUGUAUUUCUUAUCUAUUGCUACAUAACAAAUCGCCACGAACUUAGCACCUUAAAACGUGUUGUACUUACUCUCUCACAAUUUCUGUGCAUCAGGGAUUCAGGCAGAGUUUAGCGGGCUCCUCUCUUGCAGAGUCUCCCACCAGCCCAC